rnacentral:rRNA from 1 species
UACAGAGGCCUCAAGCGUUGUUCGGAUUCAUUGGGCGUAAAGGGUGCGUAGGCGGUCGGGUAAGUCGGAUGUGAAAUCCUGGGGCUCAACCUCAGAACUGCAUUCGAUACUGCUUGGCUAGAGGAUUGGAGAGGAGAGUGGAAUUCACGGUGUAGCAGUGAAAUGCGUAGAGAUCGUGAGGAAGACCAACGGCGAAGGCAGCUCUCUGGACAAUUCCUGACGCUGAGGCACGAAGGCCAGGGGAGCAAACGGG